rnacentral:rRNA from 1 species
UACGUAGGGUGCGAGCGUUGUCCGGAUUUAUUGGGCGUAAAGGGCUCGUAGGCGGCCUGUCGCGUCGGGAGUGAAAGCCCACUGCUUAACGGUGGGUCUGCUUCCGGUACGGGCGGGCUAGAGUAUGGCAGGGGAGACUGGAAUUCCUGGUGUAGCGGUGGAAUGCGCAGAUAUCAGGAGGAACACCGGUGGCGAAGACGGGUCUCUGGGCCAGUACUGACGCUGAGGAGCGAAAGCGUGGGGAGCGAACAGG